rnacentral:lncRNA from 1 species
AUGAAAGCUCAGCCUUUUAUGACUCUACUAAUAACUUUCUCAUUUAACAAUCAUGUCCUUCCAUUUGUCACAGGGGCGUGGUCACACAGUAUCGUUCUAGAAGACUCCACGAAAAUCAGAAUUAAUUCAUCCUCGGAAAAGGAAAGGGGAAAACCCAUUCUUCUCCAAUUACUCCAAUUCCAAUGUAAUUGGAGUCUUAGAGGACAAAUCUCAGAGUGUAUUCUGAGGCAUAAAAACGGACCAACAGGACGUACCAGCUUACAGCAUGAAUGUCAACAGCCACAGGAAUGGCCACUCUCAACCGUGUGGGUGAGUUACCACCCCGGCGUGCCCAUCACCAUCCCUUCUGAGAAGUAUUUGCAUGUCGGUUGCGGCCAGCCUUCCCUGCCGUUAAAAGUCACACUCCCUGUUCUCAAAGGAACCCUAAACAGUCAUGUCUGGUUACACUUUUCUCUCCAAGCCUGACAUGUCAAAGGAAAGACGAGUAAAAACAGUGGCUUGCCACAUUUGUGAUGUUGCCAACCUCUGAUCCUACAGAAAUUGCCAUUGCCACGGGCUUCAGGACGAGCUGGGUGGGUCCCUGUGGCCUCAUACAGAGCGACACCACUCGCGUAGACGAAUGACUACCAGCCUCCUCAGCCACAGCCUGGUGUCCUGCCACGGUCUCCCUCGGGGCUCUCCCCUCUUCGGCAUGCUCCUCCUAGAACAUUGCUGUUGUCGUUAAUUACAACACAGGAGAAGCCAGAAGACUGUCAAGCUCCUCACUUCUCAGCGUGGGUGCCCAGGCUCAGCCCCACUCGGGCUUGCAGAGCACCUUCACUGGAGCCCAAGACCUCCCCUAAUUGGCUGUACAAAUUUACAUGUGAUCUGAAUCAAAAAUAGAUGCGUGCAAUGCAAGUCCUUGCCUGGGCUCGCUUUGUAUAGCACCCAGAACGGUGUCUUACUCAUAGGGGUGCUUAAUAAGCACCAUUUCAGAAGAACCUUCCUUGUCAGUUGUCAUCUUUGACAACAAAAGCCCUUGGUUGUUCAGCUUCCUUCUUACCCAAAAAUACAGAGCCGGCUAAGGUGACAUUCCAGAACUUUGUGUGCUCACUGCCCACCUCGGACCUCCCUUUGAGAGUCCUAGUGUAAUUACAAGCUCACGUCUGCCUCCUUUAGAAAAAUUUAGGAAGAGAAAUUUAGGCAGAGUCCAGAAUCAUUCUGGAAAUCGUCUCCCUCCUCCAUCCCCAGCCCUUUUUCAUCCUGUGCAGUGGUGGUGGUGGUGGGGGGGGGGACCCAGGGCGUGUGUAGGGCCACCAAGCACUUCACUGUAUUCAUUGCAAAGGGCUUGAUCCAAUCACAGGCUGAGGAAGAACUCCUGGGGAGAUGAAUGCCAUUACAAAUCUUGCCCUCGACAUGAAACGCCAGUGAUUGUUUAUUAAAUUGCUCUUCAAAGAGAAAACACUGGCAGGCAAAUAUCAUUAAAACGGAAGCAAAGGGAAAUGCCGUAACCUUCAACAUGGCGCUUUUCUCCAUUACCCUCAGACCACUACGACUGGAAUGGCCAGUAGGAACUUCUGGCCCUGAGCCCCAUCAGUUACCUUCAUCUCAGCCCAGGGAGGGGUAACACAAACCACCCAGUUUUAGUACUUCCAAAUACCGCCAUGAGAAAAAACGACCCCCCAAACCCUUAACCUAAGUCCACUGUCUCAACUGCAGUGGAAGACAAAUUGUAUCAUACAUGAGUAACAUUAAAACAUAAAAGACAUACCCUCCAGUGAAAACCUUGCACAACUUUACCGAGUAAGCAGAAUUAAUCAUAGGGAACAAUUACCAUUCCUGGUCUGAAUAUUUAUGACAUAACAGAAAGCCCAUUUAAAAUACUUAGUAGCUCGUAAUUUUAAAAAGAGCCACAGGGAGAGGGGGAGCCAUGCUAAGUGUAUGAUGAAAAGGGGCAGGGGAGGACAGCUUCUUUCUUAAUCCUCCUCUCCUGUUGGUGCUCCCCACACAUCCUUCUCCCUCCUCCCCUCCUGUAUCCUCAUACCUUUUGUCAUCACCUUUGAUAAUGGCCUGCUGGACAGCAAUGGAAAGAUGGGACACAUGCUAACAGCCUCUGUCCCCACCAGUUCCUUAUCCGUUCCAGGUGUCUCCACCGUCCUCCCAUCUACCCACUCUCCAGUGGCCGUGUAGCAGGUAUCUGCAUGUUGAAAUGGAAAUGACACUGGACGAGGAGUCAUUGCUCUGGCUCUAUCACAAACCUCUGUGAUCCUAGACAUGACCCACAACUGCGGAUCUAUAAGGCUUUGGACUGGAAAACUCUAGGUUUCCUUUUGCUUCUAUGGACAUAUGAGUUCUUUGAUUCAAGUAAUUUCUAAAUAAAUGGAUUCAUUCACUCA